AAAUUGAAGAGUUUGAUCAUGGCUCAGAUUGAACGCUGGCGGCAGGCCUAACACAUGCAAGUCGAGCGGAAACGAGUUAUCUGAACCUUCGGGGAACGAUAACGGCGUCGAGCGGCGGACGGGUGAGUAAUGCCUAGGAAAUUGCCCUGAUGUGGGGGAUAACCAUUGGAAACGAUGGCUAAUACCGCAUGAUGCCUACGGGCCAAAGAGGGGGACCUUCGGGCCUCUCGCGUCAGGAUAUGCCUAGGUGGGAUUAGCUAGUUGGUGAGGUAAGGGCUCACCAAGGCGACGAUCCCUAGCUGGUCUGAGAGGAUGAUCAGCCACACUGGAACUGAGACACGGUCCAGACUCCUACGGGAGGCAGCAGUGGGGAAUAUUGCACAAUGGGCGCAAGCCUGAUGCAGCCAUGCCGCGUGUGUGAAGAAGGCCUUCGGGUUGUAAAGCACUUUCAGUCGUGAGGAAGGCGGGUACGUUAAUAGCGUA
rnacentral:rRNA from 1 species